GUGUUCCACGCUGUCGGUUCGCCGCCCGUCGGUGUCAACUGGCAUGUUUUGUGGAACGUCCUGCCGGUGGCGGUCCGGGCUCUCCGCUCUGCGUAAAGGCGCUCCGGUGCCCGAAGCAGGUCGAAAGUUUCCGGCCGCCGGUCCAAUCCCGCCACGGUGCUCUUUACUGAGUGUCGAGGUGGGCCGGCACGUUUACUUUGAACAAAUUAGAGUGCUUAAAGCAGGCUGGUGUCCGCCUGAAUACUGUGUGCAUGGAAUAAUGGAAUAGGACCUCGGUUCUAUUUUGUUGGUUUACGGAACACGAGGUAAUGAUUAAUAGGGACAGGCGGGGGCAUUCGUAUUGCGACGUUAGAGGUGAAAUUCUUGGAUCGUCGCAAGACGAACCUAAGCGAAAGCAUUUGCCAAGUAUGUUCUCGUUAAUCAAGAACGAAAGUUAGAGGUUCGAAGGCGAUCAGAUACCGCCCUAGUUCUAACCAUAAACGAUGCCAGCCAGCGAUCCGCCGAUGUUCCUCUUAUGACUCGGCGGGCAGCUUCCGGGAAACCAAAGCUUUUGGGUUCCGGGGGAAGUAUGGUUGCAAAGCUGAAACUUAAAGGAAUUGACGGAAGGGCACCACCAGGAGUGGAGCCUGCGGCUUAAUUUGACUCAACACGGGAAACCUCACCAGGCCCGGACACCGGAAGGAUUGACAGAUUGAGAGCUCUUUCUUGAUUCGGUGGGUGGUGGUGCAUGGCCGUUCUUAGUUGGUGGAGCGAUUUGUCUGGUUAAUUCCGAUAACGAACGAGACUCUAGCCUGCUAACUAGGCGAUUUUCCGGUACCCAUAACAGUGUUACCGGCGAUACAUACACUUCUUAGAGGGACAGGCGGCUCCUAGCCGCACGAGACUGAGCAAUAACAGGUCUGUGAUGCCCUUAGAUGUCCUGGGCCGCACGCGCGCUACACUGAAGGAAUCAGCGUGUCUCCUCGGCCGAUAGGCUCCGGGAAACCCGUUGAACCUCCUUCGUGCUAGGGAUUGGGGCUUGCAAUUGUUCCCCAUGAACGAGGAAUUCCCAGUAAGCGCGAGUCAUAAGCUCGCGUUGAUUACGUCCCUGCCCUUUGUACACACCGCCCGUCGCUACUACCGAUUGAAUGAUUUAGUGAGGUCUUCGGACUAGUACGCGGCGAUCGGUCUUACCGGCCGCCGAUGUUGCCGGAAAGAUGACCAAACUUGAUCAUUUAGAGGAAGUAAAAGU
rnacentral:rRNA from 1 species